GACGAACGCUGGCGGCGUGCCUAAUACAUGCAAGUAGAACGCUGAAGGAGGAGCUUGCUUCUCUGGAUGAGUUGCGAACGGGUGAGUAACGCGUAGGUAACCUGCCUGGUAGCGGGGGAUAACUAUUGGAAACGAUAGCUAAUACCGCAUAAGAGUAGAUGUUGCAUGACAUUUGCUUAAAAGGUGCAAUUGCAUCACUACCAGAUGGACCUGCGUUGUAUUAGCUAGUUGGUGGGGUAACGGCUCACCAAGGCGACGAUACAUAGCCGACCUGAGAAGGGGAUCGGCCACACUGGGACUGAGACACGGCCCAGACUCCUACGGGAGGCAGCAGUAGGGAAUCUUCGGCAAUGGACGGAAGUCUGACCGAGCAACGCCGCGUGAGGGAAGAAGGUUUUCGGAUCGUAAAGAUCUGUUGUAAGAGAAGAACGAGUGUGAGAGUGGAAAGUUCACACUGUGACGGUAUCUUACCAGAAAGGGACGGCUAACUACGUG
rnacentral:rRNA from 1 species